rnacentral:rRNA from 1 species
UAAUACAGAGGUCCCGAGCGUUGUUCGGAUUCACUGGGCGUAAAGGGUGCGUAGGUGGCAUGGUAAGUUUGAUGUGAAAGCUCAGGGCUCAACCCUGAAAUGGCAUUGAAUACUACUGUGCUGGAGGUUUGGAGGGGGGACUGGAAUUCUUGGUGUAGCAGUGAAAUGCGUAGAUAUCAAGAGGAACACCAGUGGCGAAGGCGAGUCCCUGGACAACACCUGACACUGAGGCACGAAAGCUAGGGGAGCAAACAGGAUUAGAUACCCUGGUAGUCCUAGCCCUAAACGGUGCGCAUUUGCUGUAGGAGGAAUCGACCCCUUCUGUGGCGAAGCUAACGCGAUAAAUGCGCCGCCUGGGGAGUACGGUCGCAAGAUUA